GUAGUCUGCAACUCGACUACAUGAAGCUGGAAUCGCUAGUAAUCGCGAAUCAGAAUGUCGCGGUGAAUACGUUCCCGGGUCUUGUACACACCGCCCGUCACACCAUGGGAGUCAGUAACGCCCGAGGUCAGUGACCCAACCUUUUAGGGAGGGAGCUGCCGAAGGUGGGACCGAUAACUGGGGUGAAGUCGUAACAAGGUAAC
rnacentral:rRNA from 1 species